GCACCCAUGGAACAGCGGAACGUUCGCCGGCCUUUCAAGUCGGAGACGCGGGUUCGAUCCCCGCUGGGUGUACCA
rnacentral:tRNA from 2 species